AUUGAACGCUGGCGGCAGGCUUAACACAUGCAAGUCGAGCGGGGUGAUGGUGCUUGCACUAUCACUUAGCGGCGGACGGGUGAGUAAUGCUUAGGAAUCUGCCUAUUAGUGGGGGACAACAUCUCGAAAGGGAUGCUAAUACCGCAUACGUCCUACGGGAGAAAGCAGGGGAUCACUUGUGACCUUGCGCUAAUAGAUGAGCCUAAGUCGGAAUAGCUAGUUGGUGGGGUAAAGGCCUACCAAGGCGACGAUCUGUAACGGGUCUGAGAGGAUGAUCCGCCACACUGGGACUGAGACACGGCCCAGACUCCUACGGGAGGCAGCAGUGGGGAAUAUUGGACAAUGGGGGGAACCCUGAUCCAGCCAUGCCGCGUGUGUGAAGAAGGCCUUAUGGUUGUAAGGCACUUUAGGCGAGGAGGAGGCUCUUUUGGUUAAUACCCAAGAUGAGUGGACGUUACUCGCAGAAUAAGCACCGGCUAACUCUGUGCCAGCCGCCGCGGUAA
rnacentral:rRNA from 1 species